CUACCCUUUGAUGGUAAAGAAAUUUAUACCAGUCUGUUAAAGUCAAUGCAUGCUAUUGUUCCUGUUGACAACCAGUAUAAAGCAUUUUUAAUUCAAGACUACAACAUGUGUAAGAAGAUGUUAAAGGCAAGCAAAUUGAAAAUGAAACAGAUCACACAUAUGACAAGCAAAGGGCAAAUGUUCAUGGGAG